UACGUAGGGUGCGAGCGUUAAUCGGAAUUACUGGGCGUAAAGCGUGCGCAGGCGGUUUGCUAAGACCGAUGUGAAAUCCCCGGGCUCAACCUGGGAACUGCAUUGGUGACUGGCAGGCUAGAGUAUGGCAGAGGGGGGUAGAAUUCCACGUGUAGCAGUGAAAUGCGUAGGGAUGUGGAGGAAUACCGAUGGCGAAGGCAGCCCCCUGGGCCAAUACUGACGCUCAUGCACGAAAGCGUGGGGAGCAAACAGGAUUAGAUACCCUGGUAGUCCACGCCCUAAACGAUGUCAACUAGUUGUUGGGGAUUCAUUUCCUUAGUAACGUAGCUAACGCGUGAAGUUGACCGCCUGGGGAGUACGGUCGCAAGAUUAAAACUCAAA
rnacentral:rRNA from 1 species